rnacentral:rRNA from 1 species
AUUGAACGCUGGCGGCAUGCCUAACACAUGCAAGUCGAGCGAGUGGCGGACGGGUGAGUAAUUUAUGGGGACUGCCUGAUAGAGGGGGAUAAGGACGGGAAACGGUGGCUAAUACCGCAUACGAUCCGAUAACCCAGAUGGGAUUAGCUAGUAGGUGGGGUAAAGGCUCACCUAGGGGACGAUGUAUGGCUGGUCGGAGAGGAUGAUCAGCCAAUCUGGAAGUGAGACACGGCCCAGACUCCUACGGAGGCAGCAGUGGGGAAUAUGGGACAAUGGGCGCAAGCCGGAUGCAGCAAUGCCGCGUGUAUGAAGAAGGCCUUAGGGUUGUAAAGUACUUUCAUCGGGGAGGCGUUACCCGCAGAGAAAGCCCCGGCUAACUCCGUGCCAGCAGCCGCGGUAAUUC